CACCACUCUAGGGAGGACAGGGAUCAGUGACCUCUUCUCAAAAGACUCUGACAUAGUUUCUCUCUUCUCGACUCAAAGAUAUUUUAACAUCUUUUCAAAACUCAUGAUUGUUUAUUUUCUUAUUUAUUUAUUGUGUGUGGGUGGCAUAGAGGGAGGUUGAGAAAAUGGGGUUGAGAAAAGUGACUAGAAAAACAUUCUUCCCACUCUAUGAUUUAUACCAGGACUUCUGCUUUUUAACAUUUCAAGAGAUAAGAAUUAAUUUAAUUUUCCUGAAAUUCAGCUAAGGCCUCACUUCUAAAAGGCCAUAAAAAAAGGAGUGUAUAAUGGGAGCUAAAAUUAUUUUCCACAAUUGUCCUGAGCUUUUCAGCAUAUAAAUUUGCAUAUAUCUCUGUAGUUAGAUGUGACAGCCAUUGAGGGCAUAAAAUGCAUAGAAGCUUAAGGGACCUUUUCCUGUCCCAUGGAAUCCCAGGCUCCAGGAGAGAUGCCAACAAACAAUGGAGAGCAAACAAUGGCUCAGGGAUCUGAGGGGAGAGAAAAGUCACAAUUUUAGGGUAGCUUCUGAAAAAGACAGACACAAGACGGGUAAUGAGACCUUCUGUGAGGAUGGCCUUAGGCCUGAGCCUAAGCAACUCCAUUUAAAAAACUCCAGUUUAAAAACUCCAGUCUCAUUAGGCACAUCUAACAGAGCUCUCCAGUAUGGCCUCAGACAAGACACUUCCCCUUACCUCCAUAAACAGAGUGAAGCCUCUGGCAGGCUGUCCUCGCCUGAUAAGAGGGAAAGGCAAGAAGAUCAGGGUGGAGACCACCAGACCUGAUGUUUCUGACCCCAGGGUAAAUGAUGUUAUGGAAAAAUCCAGUGGUAGCUGAUAAAGAUUGAAAGGGGGGGUCAAAAGUCCCCAAAUUUAGUAUAAAUAAUCGAGAUGAUGAACAAGGAUGCACUCGAGCUGGAGAGCCUGAUGAGGACCUGGACUGACAUCCCAUCACUUGUCAUUGUUUUCCUGAUCCCCUGUGUGAUCCUCACUGCUCUCAAACUCUACCAUCUCAUCGGGACCUUGGUGAGAGCUGCAACUUCACCCUAGGACCCUCUCCUCAACUGGCCGUCCAUUCCACGCCAGGAGAAUCCUGCCUUGGUUCCGAACCUGGUCACCACUGUCUGAGUGAGUGUGCAUCUACUGGACGUAAAGCCUAAGACUUUUGAACUUAGCCCGCAGAGGGAAUGUCUGUCAUUAGCCUGUCAUCAUUAAGUGUGUUUGCAGUGCUUAGAAUUAAUCUAGAAUUGUUUGCUGUGAAUUAAUUAAUCUAGAAUUGUUUUCUGUGGAUUGAUUAUGUUUAGUGCAGUGCCUAGCAUUAAAGAUUGUCUUUUUCUUGAUGAAGAACCUACAGAGUGAAUUGUAUUGAGUAAUCUGAGUG
rnacentral:lncRNA from 1 species